rnacentral:rRNA from 1 species
UACGGAGGGUGCAAGCGUUAUCCGGAUUCACUGGGUUUAAAGGGUGCGUAGGUGGGUUGGUAAGUCAGUGGUGAAAUCCCCGAGCUUAACUUGGGAACUGCCAUUGAUACUAUCAAUCUUGAAUACCGUGGAGGUCAGCGGAAUAUGUCAUGUAGCGGUGAAAUGCUUAGAUAUGACAUAGAACACCAAUUGCGAAGGCAGCUGGCUACACGAAUAUUGACACUGAGGCACGAAGCGUGGGGAUCAAACAGGA